AAGAGACAGCAGUAGCCACGGUAAUACGUAGGGUGCAAGCGUUAAUCGGAAUUACUGGGCGUAAAGCGUGCGCAGGCGGUUAUAUAAGACAGAUGUGAAAUCCCCGGGCUCAACCUGGGAACUGCAUUUGUGACUGUAUAGCUAGAGUACGGCAGAGGGGGAUGGAAUUCCGCGUGUAGCAGUGAAAUGCGUAGAUAUGCGGAGGAACACCGAUGGCGAAGGCAAUCCCCUGGGCCUGUACUGACGCUCAUGCACGAAAGCGUGGGGAGCAAACAGGAUUAGAUACCCGCGUAGUCCCUGUCUCUUAUAA
rnacentral:rRNA from 1 species